AAGAAAGUGACAGAGUGGCAAUGUGUUUGGCUUGAAACCAAAGUAUGGAGGUUCAAUUCCUUCUUUUCUCG
rnacentral:tRNA from 1 species